UAAAGUAGGGCUAGUGAAUGUGUGAUCGUGGCUAGUACAUUUUUUAAAUUACUGAUCCCAUGGUUAGUGGAUUUUACAAAAAUUCUAGAAGCCCUGAGUGAGAGUGCUUGCCUGAGGUGCUUUGAAUGAAAGAUCAAACCUUCUCAACAGACCCAUUCUCUGAUCUGGUCCCCCCCCCCCCCCCCCCCCCCCCCAUCUCAACCAGUGCCACAUGACUGAUAUAUCAACGGCUAAGGUGCUGUUCUAUCUGUCAGAAGUGCAUAUAAUAGAUCCUUUGCAGCUAAUGGAAAAAUGUACCGGUAGUAGGUCUCCUCUGAAAACUUCGAGUCAAAAUUAAAAUGUUUCAAAUCCAAUAGCCGAUGAUCAAUUAAUCAAUGUGCUCUAGUGGUGUUGUUAAACAAAAUAAAUGUUAACUUUUGUUGUGUGUGAUGUUGAUAUAUCGUUGAUCUGAUAUCAUUCAGUUGGCAUGUCACCAGCAGCCUCAUCUCAUUGGUUGUCAUACAGUAUUAUGUGCACCCACUCAGCAUAACUCUGACAAGUGAUGUCUGAUGUUACUAAUACAGAAUGAGUGUUGUAUAUUUUAAAAUUGCACACUCGGUUGAAACAGGCUGUAGUGACAGAUGGGUUGUGAUCAGUGUUCACAGCUGCAACAUUUGGUGUCUUGUUAAAUACAACAUACGGCUGGCUAUAAACAAUAGCAGAAUCCGAUGAUGAAGAAAAUGAGCACUUCUUUCAGUUACUGGUACUAUCAGUACACCCUGUACGUACCAGUUACUGAUUUGGAGCCCAUGGAAAGAUAUAUUGUUAACUUUGUGAUGGCGGGACUUACCGGGAUGAUGUUCUACACCAUCUACAGUCUUCUACACACCCUCACGACGAAGGUGUUUCUUCUGUCGACAAUACUGUGGGUAGCGACAAUAUCGGUUCAUAAUAUGUCGCUUGUAUAACUUUCUGUCUAGCUCAAAGAUGAAAUAAAUAAUAGU